AGCAAGCGGCGGUGACGGGAUCUCCAAAUUCGGCUAUUUUAUACCCAACCACGGCACGUCCGUCUCUUCCUCUCGUCGGGAAAUAAUGGGAAACUAAAACCACCACCAUCCGUCACUUCCUCGAACAAAAAGAAUAGCAAGGAAAGGCAAAAAAAGCAAGGAAAUAAGAAGACGGAAGAAAACCACCACCUUUGGGAACCGCCUUCUCUCCUCAAUCCCAGACGCCCUUUUUGAUCCCUCUCUCUUCCCGGCUCUUGAUCAAAGACACGUGCAAUCCAUCGGAUCGGGCCCCCCAGGCCGACGGGCGGCUGGUGAUGGCGGAGGCGGUGAGAUGGGGAACGUGGGAGGAGCUGGUCUUAGGCGGCGCCGUGCUCCGCCACGGGGCCGCGGNN
rnacentral:lncRNA from 1 species